rnacentral:rRNA from 1 species
GACGAACGCUGGCGGCGUGCCUAAUACAUGCAAGUCGAGCGGAUCUUUGGGAGCUUGCUCCCGAAGGUUAGCGGCGGACGGGUGAGUAACACGUGGGCAACCUGCCUAUAAGACUGGGAUAACUUCGGGAAACCGGAGCUAAUACCGGAUAAUUCCUUUCCUCUCAUGAGGAAAGGCUGAAAGACGGUUUACGCUGUCACUUAUAGAUGGGCCCGCGGCGCAUUAGCUAGUUGGUGAGGUAACGGCUCACCAAGGCGACGAUGCGUAGCCGACCUGAGAGGGUGAUCGGCCACACUGGGACUGAGACACGGCCCAGACUCCUACGGGAGGCAGCAGUAGGGAAUCUUCCGCAAUGGACGAAUGUCUGACGGAGCAACGCCGCGUGAGUGAUGAAGGUUUUCGGAUCGUAAAACUCUGUUGUUAGGGAAGAACAAGUACGAGAGUAACUGCUCGUACCUUGACGGUACCUAACCAGAAAGCCACGGCUAACUACGUGCCAGCCGCCGCAGUAACAC